AUACUGUACACCCCGAUCAGCCAUAACAUUAAAAGACCACCUGCCUAAUAUUGUGUAGGUCCCCCUUGUGCCGCCAGAACAGCUUGACCCGUCGAGGUAUGGACUCCACAAGACCUCUGUAGGUGUGCUGUGGUAUCUGGCACCAAGAUGUUAGCAGCAGAUCCUUUAACUCCUGUAAGUUGCGAGGUGGGGCCUCCAUGAAUCGGAUUUGUUUGUCCAGCACAUCCCACAGAUGCUUGAUUGGAUUGAAAUCUUGGGAAUUUGGAGACCAAGUCAACUUCUAGAACUCUUUGUCAUUUUCCUGAAACCAUUCUUGAACAAUUUUUGCGGUGUGGGCACAUUAUCCUGCUGGAACACGGUUAGAGAACACUGUUGCCGUGACGGGGUGCACUUGGUCUGCAACAAUGUUUAGGUAUGUGGUAUGUGUCAAAGUAACAUGCACAUGAAUGCCAGGACCAAAGGAUUCCCAGCAGAACAUUACACAGAGCAUAACACUGCCUCCGUGGGCUUUCCUUCUUUCCAUAUUGAAUCCUGGUGCCAUCUCUUCCCCAGGUAAGCAACGCACAAGCACCCAGCCAUCCAUAUGAUGUAAAAGAAGGUGUGAUUCAUCAGCCCAGGCCACCUUCUUCCAUUGCUCCCUGGUCCAGUUCUGAUGGUCACGUGCCCAUUGUAGGCGCUUCCAGCAGUGAACGGGCUCAGCAUGGGCACUCUGAAUGGUCUGCGGCUAUGCAGCCCCAUAUGCAGCAAGCUGCAAUGCACUAUGUGUUCUGACACCAUUCUAUCAUCAUUAUCAGCAUUAACUUUUUCAGCAAUUUGUGCUACAGUAGCUCUUCUGUGGGAUCGGACCAGACGGGCUAGCCUUCGCUCCCACACAGAACAGUGACCCUUGGGGGCCCACGACCCUGUCGCCAGUUCACCAGUCGUCCUUCCUUGGACCACUUUUGGUAGGUACUAGCCACUACAUACCGGGAACACCCCACAAGACCUGCUGGUUUGGAGAUGCUCUGACCUAGUCUUCUAGCCAUCACAAUUUGGCCCUUGUCAAAGUCGCUCAGAUCUCCUCUUCAGAAGGUGAAAUGCAAGCUCUUUUUUUAAUCUGAUGAAGUCCUUUGUUCUGUUGUGCUUUGGGUCAUUGUCUUGCUGCAUGAUGAUGAUAGACUUCUGAAUUCAUUCUGCUGCCAAUAUCAUGAGUUACAUCCUCAAUAAAGAUUAUUGAGCCCAUUCCAGAAGCAGCCCUGCAAGCUUAAGCCAUGACAGUACAUCCACUGUGCUUGAACAAUGUGCUCGGUCAUGAGCAGAGCCUGUCUUUCGCCACACUUUGGCUUUUCCAUCACUUUGGCAGAUGUUAAUCUUGGCUCGUCUCUGUAUUUAUUUGCAAAUUUCAGUCUGGCUUUCCAAUUCUUAUUGCUGACGAGUGGUUUGCAUCUUGUGGUAUGGCCUCUAUAUUUCCGCUCUUGAAGUCUUCCUUGAAUUGUAGAUUGUGAUGUCUUCACCCCUGCCCUGUGGAGGUUGUUGGAGAUGUCACUGACUGUUGUUUUUGGGUUAUUCUUCACAGCUUUCAUAAUAUUUCUUUCAUCAACUGCUGUUGCUUUUUCCUUGGCCAACCUGUCCGAUGUCUUGUUAGUACACAAGUGGUUUCUUUCUUUUUCAGGACAUUCCAAAUUGUUUUGUUGGCUAUGCCCAGCACUUGUGCAAUGGCUAGGAUUGAUUUUCCCUCUUUUCUCAGCUUCGAAAUAACUUGCUUUUCUCCAAUAGACAGCUUUCUGGUCUUUGUGUUGGUUUAUCCUUUUUAACAACAAAUGCAGUCUUCACAGGUGAAACCCAGGACUCACACCAAGAGUAGACAUUUAGAGCUAUUAAUUGUUUAAACAAUCAAUCUAACAGGGCAUACCUGGGCAACAAAGAACACCUGUCAGUCACAUGUUCCAAUACUUUUUGUCACUUAAAAAAUGGGUGGGUUCAAACGAAAUGCGCCAUGUUCUAAGUUAUUUAACACUAGAUGUUAAAUAGACGUAAAUAGUAAAUGAAAGCUGACAUUUUGAUCUAUUGUCUCAUAAUAACCUUUUGAUCUCAAACCCAAAUGUCUUUGGUGCAUAGCAAAAACAAAAGAAUUGGCCUUGCUGUUCCAAUACUUUUGGGGUAGACUGUGUGUAAGAAGUAUAUACAUUGUAUGCACAUUCCAGUUUCUCAAUUUGUAAAUAUCAAUAUCGUUUAGCUUUCAGGGUAUAUGAGCAGACUAUCUUUGCAUAGAACCAUCUUGUAAUCAUAAGCAUGGAUAUUUCCAUAAAUAGUAUGUUAAUAAGUCAGUUAACAGUAAAUCGUUUAACACUUUUUAAACAUAUCAGAUGUUACUGUAUUUGUCGCAAUUAUUUAUUUCUUGAAUGGGUUUUUUUAGUUAUUUUUUCAAUGUGUAUACAAAAAAGUUGUCAAACUUUGUCUGGCAAACUAGAAUAUUGUCAGAAGUGAUGGACUACACAGAAAACUGGACACUACCUUUUAUAGCUGGGAGAUAAUGUAUAUAUUCACUGAUAUAUUACAUUAGUUUUUUUUUCCAGACAUUUUAUUGGAUUUGAUUGGAACCUAUGUAAAAUUGGAUUGAAUUUCUUCCAUCUGAGAAAUAAGCUACUUUAACAGCAAUAAAAUGUUUAGUCACUAAAAUUGUUUGAUGGGAAAACAUACAUUUUGUAUUUUUGCGCUUGUGGAAAGUAAUGCAAAGUAGUUAUGCAAUGCACCCAAGGAUACUGGAAAGCAAAUUAAUAUGCAUAUGCAGUUAUGCAUGUUUCACAAUACAUCAGUGGAGCCCGAUGGUACACUUGAGAGUGUGAGAGCAGCUAAUGCCUGAAGCUUUUGGUUAAAGCAAACUUUCAGCAUAGCAACAGUUCCAGGAGCUCUCUAGCGUGAUACGCUGCACUGACUUCGUCGUAAUUCCUCCAGAUUACUCUGGGCAGUUACUAUACCAAAGCCUAGGUAUACUGUCAGACGAAUAUAACACUGGGGAUUUUCUUCUUUUGAAGAGUUCUUUCUAAAUGAAGUGAUUGAAAAAUGCAAUAAGCAGAAAACAUUCAUGAUGCCAUAUGUCUAAAUUCCAUAAUGCCAAUGGCCAAAACGUCUCCAAGUAGUCAAAAAGACAGCUUUGUUAUACACUCCUAAAACACUGUUUCACUGAAAAGCUAAGAAACAUUAUUUUUUUUUGGUAAUGUCUUUAUCCAGAAGCUAUGAAUAAUAUUAACUCAGUUAUGGUUGUAUAGCACUGUAAUGUUGUCUCAUGAUAAUGUUAUGACCUCAGUAUUACCGUAGUUAACUGGUUAACACAUAGCAUUAAGUUAGUAAGGAGGCUGCAUAAAAAAGAGAAGUGACCAGAAAAUCAUAACUUUUCACUAUGUUUGCAACCAGUUUUAUAUGCUGAAAAGCACUUACAGAUCAUAGAGCGAAUCAUCUUUUAAAAAAAAAUUGAAGUAAGCUGUUUUUGCUAGAGAAAUUUCAGUUUUUUGCACAGAAAUUUCAGCAAAUUAAAAUAUAUUCUGGUUACCUUUUUCAUGACUGAUGAAAAUGCCACCUUUAAAUAAUUAUAAUAUCACCUAAAGUUCUGUGUCAUCUGCCUGAUUUACCCUGUGCAUGUGCACCAGUUUUGCAUAUGUCUAGCCUCCGCUACUGAUGUGGUCCAAAAUGUAUUACCAAAGGAAAAACACUAAUUACAGGUUAAGCACAUUCCAAGCUUUUUCAAGUGUUGCUUUAAAGGGCCCUUAUAAGUGAGCAUUAUUGAAAGGAGUAACUGAUGGAAAUUUUGUUUUUAAAAUCUUAAGCUUGCAUCAUAAGCUUAUAAUGUGAAUAAGAAAUGGUAGUAGCAAAAUUACACAAGCUAAGACACCUGCUCAGGUACCUACUGUGAAUUUUUAAUUUGUGAUCCCAUGCUUUCUCCUGUUUUGCUUGUAUAACUAUAAAAUGGCUUUGAUACAUUACAUUGAAAUGCCUUCUAAUUGGAUGUUACUUUUCAUCUCUACAGAGAGUGACAAUUUUGAGUUCUCAAUGUGGAGGACAUCGUCAUGAUCAUGAUUAUGCUCAUGAAUCAUAAAAAGCUCCAAGACUUCAGUGUGAAAUGUCCUGUGUAGUUGAGCCGAUGUCUGAAUGAGCACCGAGGGGCAUUUCCAGCCAUGGAAGAGAUGAAAUGUAAACCCUACCAGCCACUGUCCAGAGCACGGCGGGAGAUGGAAAUGUCAUACAGCAGCUCAUCGGAUGAGAGUGAUGGUGGCCGCCACCAGCCCAAAUCUUACACAUCCCACGACACCUUACCUGACUGUGGUCAAGAUGUCAACUACCACAGCCACAAAAAAAGACAGAUAACUUUCAGUAUGAAGGGACAAGAGCUAGAGUUUGGCAAGCCAGAUAAGAUGCCGAGUAGUAACGUUCACGAGGAGCAUGGCUAUUCACUUCAUGUGGCUCUUGGCUCAGAUGUGGAUGAAGAAGCUGAUGUAGAAGUGGCUCCAUCACCCAGCCAUUGUCUCUGGUUGGAGGAAGCAAAGUCAGAACCGAGCUCCUGUUUGUCCAGCCGUGCCAAUUCAGUUCUCUCUCUUACUGACACAGAGAAAGAAAGGAAGUCGGUCAGCAAAAAUGGCAAGUACUGCUUGACAUAAUUUUGCAUAAUACAAUGAAUAUUACCUAGUUAUCCGAACAUUGUUAUUAAUUAAGUAACGCUUUUGUGUCACAAAGAUCUUGAGAUUAGUCUCACAAUCAGGAGCACUACUUUGAGAAAUUUUCUGCAGCAAUGUAUUGUCAAAAAAGUGUAAUUAAUAGUGCCAUUCAUUAAAGAUUAUGCAAUUAUUAAUCUGAAUUCUGAACUGGAAUCCACCACUUGUGUCUAAAUAAUAGCACCCAUGAAAGUAAGAGGCACUGUGUGGAGGUUGUACAGUAGUAACCUUAUUUCCCAAACAACAAUAGUGUUAACAGUAAAUAAACAUUUAAGUGCAUUACAAGCAAAUUUUCAUUUACAGAUUUGAAAGAUAAUUUUUUUAAAUGUUCUACCACAUCUGUUUAACAAAACAUGAUUUAUGCUGGCAGAAUUGAACCCCUGUGCCCAAGAGCUUUACAUCAGCUCAAACAGCAAAUUAAAUAUAGCAGUUUAAAAUAUUUUUUUUUAUGUAGGUUGUAGUGUUAAUGGAUCUUUAGAUGAGUUUGACGUCUUUUGAGAGAAGACCUCUGUCAAAGAAAGAUCUAAAACACACUGUAAAUUCAGUUUACUUAAAAAAAGUUUGGAAACCGACUGCCUUAUUUUUGCUAAGCAAAGUAACCCGAAGUUAAGUUAAUAAUUGGCUAAAAGUAAAGAAAGCAAACACUCCCUAAGUAAAUUAAGUAAUAAACAUCAGGUUACUUUAAUGUCAAUUCUAGUUAACAUAAUCUAGAAUAUUUAUUAAUCUUACUUAAGAUUUAAUAGUAAGACUACUUUAUUUAUUCCAUUAAACUAACAGUGUUAUAUUGUGUUCUGCAAACAUCUUAAAUGCUAUUAGUCACAACAUGGUUUUAAUCUGCCAUUUUAAGCUAUGGAGACUUAAAAAACAUGCAGUCGUUUUCCACAGUUUCUUCAAGUAAAGUGAACAGAAUUUUUUGUAGUUCAACAUGUAUGGAAUACACUUAACACAAGUCUUAAAUUCUCGACUGUUUAUUUUUCUGAAAAUCUUCUUUUUCACUCUCUGGAUAGACAGUACUGUGCUGUUGUAUUUUCAGGACAGGCACUUCAAACAGAGCAGCAGAGCAAAAAAUAAAAUAAAAUUAAAAUAAAAUACAAUAAAAUAAAAUUAAACAGGGCUAUGCAACCCUGAAAUACAAACCUUUGGUAAGGUUUUAUAGGUAAUAACUAACGACUGAUUUGAACCAUGCACUGGCUACUUGAAAUAAGUGCAAUUAAAUAUGCCAAUAUGCCAACAUCUUAAAUACUUUAAACAUGGCAACAUAUAGGCAUCCAAGGCAGAAAGUGACCAGAUUAGCUUAAAAGCUAAUUUUUAAGUGUCUGAAGUUUGGGUUUGAGAUUCUUCCCUCCCAAAGAAAGAAACACCUGCUGAAUAAAAUCAAAUGUGUUCCUCAUUGUCUUUGGGUAGUCUAAAUUUAGAGGGUAGAUCAAACCAAAGAGAAGACAUACUGCAUGUGGCAAAUUUUGGACAUCAUCCACAACAAUUCUUCCCUCCAGAAUGAUUGCUCGUGUUGCGUCCACAGUGAGCGUGUGUUGACGUUUGGCAGGCAUGUCUUCAGUUAAAACUGUGAGCAGGCCAACAUCUGCUUCGCUGAAGUCAGCAUCAACAUCUAUAUCCUAAGUAGAGAAAGAAAAAUAGGGAAAGCGUGAAUUUCUUCAUUCGAACACUAUUGGAAAUGUUCUACAGCAGUGGUCCCCAUCCAUGUUCCUGGAGGCCCCCCAACACUACACAUUUUGCAUGUCUCCUUACUCAAGCACACCUGAAUCAGGUUAUCAGCUCAUUAGCAGAGUCUCCAAGGCAGAGCUGUAUCCGAAAUCGCCUCCUCAUUCACUAUUGCCAAUAAGCCCACUAAUAUAGUUCACUUGAUGGAGUGAAUGAAAGCAAGUGAGUAAAUUCAGACACCGAGUACACUGGAAGGGCGUCUGCUUCUGCAUAGUUUGUGCUUGUUGUUUGAUAAGCAUUUGAAGCAAACUAGCAGCUCCAGUUGUAAGAUUAAAGGAUUGCUCUUAAACUCUGUAUUGGAAACUAUGUGUAAGCCUUAAUCUAAUAGUCAAUUAAAAAGAACUUUAUACCUGUAUUAUAUACGCUGUACGCCGAGCUUUAAAUUAUGAUCAACAAAUAGAGAUGACAAGAUUCAUAGUGUAGGAGUUAUAAAAUGAAACACAUUGUUUCAGAAGACAUGAUUUAAAUCACUGAGCAUAAGGGUGAAUUACCAUUUUUGGGUGAACUAUUCAUUUAAAUUCUGUUUUCUGUUCAACAGAACCUACUGCAUGCCGUUAGACAACUUGGAAAAUAAAUACAAGCUCUAGGGACUACUUCAUUGUACUUUUACAUUGUUCUGAAUUAUUAACAUCAUAAAACUGAAUUAAGAAUAUAUUUAAUUUUUUUUUUUUUUUUUUUUUUUACAAUAUGCUACUUCUUACUGCUUGAUCCACCAUUUAGAUUAUAGAACAUUAUCUUCUUUUUGUUACGGAUAAAUCACACACAUUAUUUACAUAAUUUUAUCUUAUUAAUUCAAAUUGUGUAAUGCUGAUGAAGCCAAAAGAAUUCUGUAAUCUGUUUAUACACAAUUUCAACUAGUUAAGGCAUUCAAAUGACCAGUGUCACAAAUCAAAACUGUUUCAGAAAAGACAAAUAUAGUAUUUACUGCAAACUACCUACAACUUUUAGUAUUUUUUAUAAACUGAUCUAUACUCUAAUGGAAUAAUACAAAAUGACAAUUUAACAAGGCAGAAACACCAAUAAGUUUACUUACAAAGCACAUCCUCAAAAAUUCCUCCGAGUCAUCCCCCAGAAGAACUGGAAGACCCUGAAGCACUGCGGUGCGAACAUGUGUUACAUCAGAUGACUAUGAAAAAGAAGAGACAGGUAGACAUGUUAUAGGCCAAGGGUAAUCAUCACAUCAGCAAAUAAUGAUUCAAAGAUGACAUCAUAAAAAACACCUUUGAAUCAACUUGUUGCAAAAUUUCAUCAAGUUUUCUUCCCUGAUUUCCUCUUUUUUUCCAAAAAAUUUCAAUCAAGCGAGCAGAAUGUGUGUCCAACGCAGCGUUGAACUCAGAUCUCAGAUUUUUUCCCAAUAUGCGAUUGAAUUCUGCUAAGAUCUAAGCACAAACAUAGAGUUGUUAUUAACAUUCAAACACACUUCAUACAAAAACACACAGGGUUUUGAAGAGAAAGAGGAAACAAACCUGACUUUCCAGACAGGAGGUUCAGAGUGGAUGAUUUCCUUCCAUCUCAAGGCAAAUGUACUGUCCAUCUUGUUGCCAAUCAAGCUCAUGUUUGGGGGCCUCUUUUUCAUUUCUUCUACAAGUUCUUUUCUUGUGCAUUCUUGACUUUCUUCAUCUUCCCCAUUAGGAAAGUUUGGCAAGAAAUUUAAUUCAAAUUGCCUCGGUUUUUUAAUGCCUGAUUUUGUUGCCAUCAUUGCACCUCUCUUUGCCCCAACUGCAACAUCACUACAGCCACAUGUACGCAAUUUUGUUCUAAAGUUGGCCAUUUUAAAUUUCAAGCUGUUUUUCCAGCCAGCUGAGCCUGUUGGGGAGCCCUGUUCAGUCAAACAGGGAUGUGCUUUGAUUAGAGGAUGUGCUGCAGCAACUUGGGCAAAAUCUUCAUCUCUUGGAUAUGCCUUAUAGGUGUACAUGGCCCCAGCAAGUGCUUCCAGUAUGUCAUGUUUUAUGUCUCUUCCAACAUCAAGUGUUGUACCAUCUUUCAUAAAAGCAAGGUUUCCCUGACAGAGACGGUACUCAACAUUGACAGAGAAUUUGGGUAUUUCAAAAACCUCUGGCCAUUCAAACUGUCGUUCAGCAGACAACUGCUCUGAUGCAUCAUAUCCUGAGAGAAGUACAGUGUCAGUUUGACUUGAGUAGGGAAUGUGUGUAGAGGAAUUAUUUUCAGUGUUGCCCUUUCUGGCAAAUCAUUAAUGUCACUGACAUUACAUAAGGCAUGAUUAAAGUCAGGGUCUUCGUAUUGGACUGAAUGCGUAUGUGAGCUGUAGCUUCUCUUGCAGCACUUGUUUUAAGGCAUCAAUAUCAGCUGGUUUUUCAGGAAUUAUUAACUUUCGGAUGUCACUGUCAUGCACAAUAAUCAUUGACAUGGCUAAGUGAAAUUCUAAAACAGAAAGAAAAGUCAAAAUUACAAGCAAAAAUACAAUGCAAUGUCAUAUAGCAGCAAAAGUAAUACUUCACAGAGCCGGCCUCGGACUAAACUGCCAGACUAUAAACUGCAAGAGGGAAGGGGUCAUUUAGUUCAGAAGGCAGAACAACUUGCAGUAAAUGUAAACUGCACAAUUCAUAAGAGCGUAAAUGCUCAAUAUACCAUGCAGUCUGAGGUUUGCAGAGGAACAUUAUGUCAGUGUUGAUUGUCAAGAUUUUCUCAAUCCGCAUGAAUUCUGGCAAACUGAACAAGAUCCAACUGAAACCACCAUGUCUGGACAGUACUUAAUUCCAUUAACAUAAACACUGGAUGAAACUAGCACAGUGCUACAAUUAGGAUUCUGCAGCUGUAGAUAUUCCUGAACAUUUUCAGGAAAGUCUGUGAUAAGUGAACUACAGACCCUGUCCAUUUGUACUCUUGGCUUGAAAAAAGAACUGGCAUCCAUGUGAUAGGCAAUUGCCAUUUGAUGCUUCUUGGCCAGCAUUAGGGGGACAUUUUUGUGUGCAUCAUGGAUCACUUUCUUGAAGAACUUGUGUUUCCCCUCAAAUCUGAUUGUCCAUAAAUUCCUCAGCGGCCCAUACAUUCUGAUCAGUUAGAUAAUGAAAUAAUGCUCCAGGUAGUGAUGCUUUGGACGCAGCACAAAGUUUGGAAACACAUCCUGAAGCAAAGCUCUGUUCUGAGUUCAAGAACUCCACAGUGUCAUCAGAAAAGUGGCUAGACAAAGCCAAUUCAACAAUAACUUUCAACAACAUUAGAAUUUCCCAGGUAUUUGUCAUUCUCUCUCACUUUAUGGCCAAUCAAGAGUGGGAGGAGCCUCAAGAGGGCCCAAUUUUCGUGGCCAUUUCCCCCUAUUGUUUGCUUACUUGUGUACGAUAUUGGAAUUGGCUGUGGCUGAUCAGUCCUGUCUGAAAAUUUGUAUGGGAAUUGUUUGAUGGCACCAUUUAAGGAAUCCAGGGAAAAGUAAUGUUUGCCAAUUAAAUCCUGCAUACACAACGCCGUCUCCACAGGAACAACACCCUCCAAGAGAUCAUGCAACAGAUCUGGGGGAAACCACCAAUUGCAUUAAAGUGUUUCAAAUUGUCACUCAACGGACAGCUACUCUUCACGCCAUACUGUGCCACCUGUUGAACAUCUUGAACCUGCUGUUGGUGUUUUUCUUUUGUCCUCAUUUCAAAAGAGCCUGACUUAACUUCCUUGAGUUGAAUGUCAUCCCUUGUGGCCAUGCAAAAUCUACAAGGGCGAUUCACUCUAAAGCUCUCCUGAAAGCCUGCCAACGAAUGGGCACCCAGAUUAUCUGCCAGGACAUGCAGAAUAGAUCCCCUUACACAUGAACCUAACUGCUCAACAUAUACUCCCCACUCUUCAAGACAUUUCAAGUCUUCAAUUAGUGGGUGGAGUAUUUUUGAGUAGCCAUUUUGCUUAACUACGUUUGUUUUACACAGAAGAGCUAGCUGAAUGGUGUGCAAAGAUGAUGUGUGUUUUGCUGGUAAGUUCGCAAGAACCCAGUAGAUGGCACACAUUUUGUGUUUUUUUUCAUGAUGUUCCAAGUGGAUUGGCCACUUCAAAGUAAUCUUUCAAGAUUAAGGAAUAUUCUACAAUCACCUGCAAAAAAUGAGUUAUCUCUAUAAUGCGUACCAUCCCUGUAACUGCUGUAUCCCCUUGAGGUCUCACCUGGAGCCAUCACCUCAUCAAGAACUUCCUUUUUAUUUAGCAAUUUCUGCAACAUUUGAAUAAUUGAGAUAUACACAUAAUAUUGCUCAACUCCAUCUAUUUUGUACUCAACUGGAACAACAACUGAAUAUUCUCUCGUGAAGGAUGAUGCUCUCCUAUUGGCCGUGGAAAGAGGACCUCCUUCAUUUGUGCAGUGUAACAGCACAUUGCUGUCAGUAACUGCCCUGACAAGCUCUUUCACAACUGUGCUGUCUACCUCACCGUAGUGCUUAUCAAUAGUUUGCCGUAUUGUGCUGUAUAACAGUGGCUCAGACAAUAAAUGAAUCUGAUUCUACUGUUGGAUAAUUUCUUGUGUCGCACUAUCAGAAAUAUGCAAGAGUGUUUGCAUUUUCAGAAAAAGUGAUGCCAAAUUGUGUUCCAGCUUUUGUUUUGUGUCAUCCAAAUUGCCUUGUUCCUCUGCCAUAUUACAUUCAUCUUCACUGCCUGAGCUGUCAACAAGCGUAUGAGCUGUAUAUUCUUCUAUGUGACCAAGAUGAGUGCUUAACACAACCCCCAACUUAAAAUGUUCAUGGCAGUGGUGCUGGUGUGCCUUACUUUUAUGUGCAUUAAAUGUGGAGUACACAUUUGUCUCAAAUGAACAGUCUUUGAAAGGACAUUGAACUUUUUCUUUAUUCCUCAAAUGAGUACACAAUUGGGCAAAAUAAUCUGACUCGCUACAUUGCUCUGUUAAAUCACAAACAUGGCACUUGUAACAAACUAAAGCAUGACCAGAACUACUUGAUUCUGCAGUUCUUUGUUGGGAAUGGAUUUUUGAUAAAUGUACUUUUAAUGCGUUAAAUGACUUAAAAGUACAUGGACACUCAGUAUGAAGACAUGGUAUUGGAACAACUCGUGAAUAUGUUCCAUGGCUUAUGCGGUAGUGCUUAAGAAGUUGUGCCCUCUUUUCUGAAGUGUAAGUGCAAGUGCAAAACUUACAUUUCCACUGCAUAGCAGCUUAUCAACUGGUAUUCUAGAAAGAAAGAAGAAAAAAAACAGUUAUUCCAUCAAUCAAAAGUCAAUGAGCAAACAACAAAAUCAGAUGCAGUGUUUAUUUUUUAACUGUGAGACACUUAUUCAAUGUAGUUGGCCACUCAUUUAAUAGAAGAAAAAAAAAACACAGGUAUUAAGUAUUAUUUUAAAACUAAAACUGUUAAAGUUUAUUUGCUAACUUAUCCACUCUUUUCCUAGCGAGCCUAUUGCAUUUUAAAUUAAGGGAAACACUUCCGGGUUGGGGCCGUUUAACUAAAAAAAAAAAAACUGAAACAAAUCAUUUCAAAUCAUAAGGUUGCACUACAGAAAUUCCUUAACUGUCAGUUUGACUGAAUGAGCUGUAAAUUUUCUUUCAUGAUCUAUUUCAGACAUCAGGACAUAAUGCUUGGUAUUUUAAUGUGACAUGGUAUAACAAAAAUACAUAUGGCCUCCGCUUUAAUUUCCAAUCCCUGUCACGUGUUUGUGGAGGUGGAGUGAUAGGGAUUCUCUUACAAUCUCAACAACAACAAAAAAAACCCCUCAAAAUGACCGUUUUAUUUGCUGCCUUGAUUACCGUAAUCACCAUAAUAAGCAUGCAUAUUUUUGUCACAACUGGCUUGACUGGAGUUCAACACCCAUAGCCGUGUUUUUAACGCACCGUGUCAAGUUAAAAAAAAAAAAUGUUACGUUAAUUUAAAAAGAACCGAUAUCAAAAUGUAGCUGUCUCUUACAUGUAUUUGACUCGAUUUCACGCUUUUUAGAAUGAAUGCAGCUGUGUCUCUCUCUGUGCUGCAUCGUUUGAAAGUGGCGCGCCCAGCUUUUCUUACAGCAUAUGCUGACAGCUUAUGAAAACUAUUCAGUCACAAUCACAGAUUUAAAACUGAGGUCACCAUUUGACACAUUUUGUAGAAUUUUCACUGAAUUUCGAAUACCGUAAAAACUCACGUCACGCUGCUCACGCAUAAUCAUGAUAAAUCAUCAAUUCAGAUUACUUUACUCGUAUACUCCUGCCCAUCACUAGCACAAAUUAAUUAAUUAAUAGUAAUUAAUAGGCAACCAGGCAGCUGACCUUGCAGAUAUCAAGCGGAAAAUAACUAGUUUGAAGAGAAAUUGCUUCAAAUAAUGCGCAGUGGUCAAAACGUGUUAGUGAAAGUUGUUAACAUGGGCUAAUAAGUUCCACAAAACAGCAUGCAACUAACAAAGUGCAGAAAAUCUAACGAUUAUUAAGACUAGCUAACAAAAAAUAUCAGAAAAGUAUGUUGAAAUUAAAAGAUUUUACCUUUUUACCGAAGUUAGUCCUCUCACUCUGAAUCCUUAAUCCGUGUUGAGUUCUUCUGCUCUGUUAUUUUUUUCAUUUCGGAUUUACUCUUUCAUGUAAGAUUUCUGCUCUUAACCAUUCUUCAAAAACUGCUUUAUUCAUAUUGUAUGUCAUAAUCUGGAGACUAUCCUGGGAUAAAUUUAUGUGGCUACAUAUAAGGCUACCUAUCUGUGCAGGGUAACAAAAUAUAUUGUCAAUGACAAAAAUCACAUUUCGAAUACAGUUAAAGAUGUGAAAUGUUACGGAAUACAAUAGGAUUACAUGUAAAACUUGUGGUGGCAGUUGAAUUAAAAACACCUAGAGUAAUAGCAGCCUUUUGGUAUUAUCCACUUGUUCUCUCAGCUGCUCCUAUUUUUUUCUCAUAGCCCUCAACAUGGUGGUAUCAAUAUUAUUAAUAUUGGUAUAUUAUAUUAAUCAAUAUAAUAUCAAUAUCAUAUUAUUACUAUAGUACGUAACAUGAUUUAUUAAUACAUUCUGUUAUAACGUAAUUUUCUAAAUACUGGUCACAUUGCAGUAUCUUCACUGAUGGCGCAUAGAGGCAGUAUGUAGUACUGGGCUGUGUGCAUGCUAGGUAGUAAUAAUAAUAAUAAUAAUAAUAAUAAUAAUGAUAAUAAUAGACAUUAAUAAUCUUAACUGUCAUGAUAUAAUACUCAUUUUCAGUUCCCUCUGAAAGUAUUAGAACAGCAAGGCCAAUUUUGUAAUUUUUUUGUUUUGCUAUACAUUGAAGUCUUUUGGGUUUAAGGUCAAAAGAUGAAUAUGAUGAUAUGAUCAGAAUUUCAGCUUUCAUUUCUUGAUAUUUACAUCUGGAUGUGUUAAACAACUUAGAACAUGGCACCUUUUGUUUGAACCCACCCAUUUUUCAAGAGAUCAAAUAUAUUGGAACAUGUGACUGAUUCAAUUCAAUUCAAUUUUAUUUGAAUACCGCUUUUUUACAAUGGACAUUAUCACAAAGUAGCUUUACAGAAAUAAAUAGAUUGAAAUUAAAUUAAACCAAAAUAAAUUUUAAAAAUAUGAAUUUAUCCCUAAUGAGCAAGCCAGAGGCGACGAUGGCAAGGAAAACUCGAGACGAUAUGAGGAAGAAACCUUGAGAGGAAUCAGACUCAGAAGAGAACCCAUCCUCAUCUGGGUAACAACAGAUAGUGCAAUUAUAAAUAAAUCCCUCCUAUAACUGUGUACUAUAUAUACAAAUAGUGCAAUUGUGCAACCAAUAAAUUCAUCACAGUUUUCACAUGAAUUCCGGUUUGUUAAACCUAUCCACUGUCCACUGAUGGAGU